rnacentral:rRNA from 1 species
AACCCUUGCUAUUAGUUGCUAACAGGUAGAGCUGAGCACUCUAAUGGGACUGCCCGUGACAAGCGGGAGGAAGGUGGGGAUGACGUCAAAUCAUCAUGCCCUUUAUGAUCUGGGCUACACACGUGCUACAAUGGAUGGUACAGAGAGCAGCGAGGCCGCGAGGUGGAGCGAAUCUCAAAAAGCCAUUCUCAGUUCGGAUUGCAGUCUGCAACUCGACUGCAUGAAGUCGGAAUCGCUAGUAAUCGCGAAUCAGCACGUCGCGGUGAAUGCGUUCCCGGGCCUU